UGGAACAAGGGGCCAGGAGGGAAGAAGGGUGACCAGGAACAUGCCUUUGAGAGAUGUGCCUUGUCACUGACGUUUUCUGGUCUUUUGGCUUUCCUGUCAACCUGAGGCUUCUAGAAAACUACAGGAUGCUAUUGUGAGCGUCACUCCACGAAAUACUGACAGACUGGCUAUACAGUCAGGCUCUGUCACAGUCUGCACUUGUGAUGAGUCCAGCCACAGUUUGGAACAACAAUUGCUGUGCCCUGUGGUGGAUGCCUCAGAGAAGCUGUUUCGGGAUUCCUCGGCAAGUGAGGCACAUAUUGACUAUUUGGAGUACCCCCAACUUUCGACUGCUCCAUCCUUCACUCUCUGUCACAUAUCCCUGAGUGCUUUGUCCCUGAGAGUGCCUGCCACCUAGAACUCUGUGUUUCAUGCCUUGGGCCAUUGAUUUGCUUGCUAGGUUCUGUUUGACCUCAGGGACACAUCAUGUCACUGAUGCUAUUUUCAUCCUUCGCCGUGUAAUUGCACCUAGGAGUCCUGUCAGUCAAAUGCCCAGGUGUCACUUCAUGACACCCACUAUGCUCCAACAAAUCCAGGGCAGGGACAUGAAGCUGGUAUAUCUGUGGUGCAGAAAAAAGACUUGGGAAAAAUGCACUGGAGGGUGUCUUGUGAAGUACAGAGAAGGUGCGAGUGUCAUCUCUGAUCACUCCAGAUAAAUCCACUAGUGUAACAUCGAAGGGAAGGACAAAAGGGUGGGGCAGGAUCCUCAAUGACAGGAGAACCAAAACAAAGAGAAAGUCAAUUUCUGCAGGAGACAGGGAGACUGGGGUAAAUUUGGAGUGAGUGGCAGGUAGGAGCUAGAAGAGAACCAGGCUGCUACAUGCCUCCAGGCACCAGAGGGGUUUGGAGACCUCAGGUAGGCUGGGUCAUCCUGUCACACAAAGCAGAGAGUACACACAGCACCCUGGCCCCCUGUCCUCCCUCACUGCCCUGACACUGGGCCAAAGAACUGCUGUCUAGAAACACUGGCAAAAGGGGUCAGGAGAGUUUCUUAGCACAGCCUGCACACAGCCCCAACUGUGUCAUGCUGACAACAGGUGUCUUUAGUAAAAGACUUUAUGUGAAGACCACACACCAAUUUCAAAUAAGUCUACAUAGCUAUAUCGAGUGGCUGACUUCCUCCACCAUACCCUCCCUAUUUAUCUAUGACACACGGGCCCUCACAAAAACCAACUUACAGCUUUUCCUGCAUCUGGAAGGCUAGCAGUUCAGGGUAGGUACCUGCCAAGUGCCCUGUAAAUGACUAUUCUCCCUGACAAGAAAACUGGGUCCCCUUGCUCAGCCUCAUCUGUAGUGUUACAAAGUGAGACAUUCCUGGGUCAUCAUGUUUAAAAUCAUGGGACCGCCCUGGAUGACUGGAAACACUAAAAGGGACAGUUUGGAAUUACGGUGGAAGUCACAUGUGCUCCUUGCUUCCAAGUAGCAAGCAUUGUUCAGAACAUGACAAAGGCUGUCAGGACUUAGAGCAGAGGGAUCAGAGGGGCUGAGGACCAGUGAGAAACCAGGUCAAGGUAGGAUGGGUCAUUAUCCUUGAUGUAUACCCAUGUGAACGUCAGGCUAGAGGGUUGAGAGCCCCCAGUGCAUGGCCAUGUCUUCAUCCCAGCCUGAAGCGGGG
rnacentral:lncRNA from 1 species